rnacentral:tRNA from 1 species
GAAGUAUAUUAAACAAACUGAAGCUUCUAACUUCUAGUUUAAGCGAAUAUACGUUUAUACUUCU